rnacentral:rRNA from 1 species
ACGAACGUUAGCGGCCGCGCCUAACACAUGCAAGUCGAGGCGAGAAAGGGCUUCGGCCCCGGGUACAGCGGCGCACGGGUGAGUAACACAUAGGUAAUCUACCCCUGAAUGGUGGAUAACCCUCCGAAAGGAGGGCUAAUACAGCAUAAGACCACGGCCUCCUUGGAGGCUGAGGCCAAAGCGGGCCACUUCACGAAAGGCUCGCGUUUGGGGGAAUGAGCCUGCGGCCCAUCAGCUAGUUGGCGGUUGUAAUGGACCACCAAGGCUAAGACGGGUAGCUGGUCUGAGAGGAUGAACAGCCACACUGGAACUGAGAACACGGUCCAGACUCCUACGGGAUGGCAGCAGUGGGGAAUCUUGCGCAAUGGGCGAAAUGCCUGACGCAGCGACGCCGCGUGAGUGAAUGAAGGCCUUCGGGUUGUAAAGCUCUGUGGGGAGAGACGAAUAAGUUCCGGCUAAUACCCGGAGCGAUGACGGUAUCUCCUUAGCAAGCACCGGCUAACUCUGUGCCAGCAGCCGCGGUUAAGAGCAGAGGGUGCAAACGUUGUUCGGAAUUACUGGGCGUAAAGCGCGUGUAGGCGGCAGGGGUGUGUCGGAUGUGAAAUCCCGUGGCUCAACCACGGAAGUGCACCCGAAACUGCCCAGCUUGAGUCUCGGAGAGGAAGGCGGAUAUGCUUGGUGUAGUAGGUGAAAUUCGUAGAUAUCACAGCGGAACACCGGUGGCGAAGGCGGCCUUCUGGACGAUGACUGACGCUGAGACGCGAAAGCGUGGGGAGCAAACAGGAUUAGAUACCCUGGUAGUCCACGCCGUAAACGAUGAGUGCUAGGUGUCACGGGCUUUGGACCCCUGUGGUGCCGUAGCUAACGCAGUAAGCACUCCGCCUGAGGGAGUACGGCCGCAAGGCUAAAACUCAAAGGAAUGACGGGGGCCCGCACAAGCGGUGGAGCAUGUGGUUUAAUUCGACGCAACGCGCAAGAACCUUACCUGGGCUAGAAAGUGCGAGGAACUCGGUCGAAAGGUCGAGGUGCCCUUCGGGGAACCUGCAGUUAGGUGUUGCAUGGCUGUCGUCAGCUCGUGUCGUGAGAUGUUGGGUUAAGUCCCGCAACGAGCGCAACCCUGCCGUUAGUUGCCAGCAUUCAGUUGGGCACUCUAAUGGGACUGCCGACCUUCAAGUCGGAGGAAGGUGGGGAUGACGUCAAGUCCUCAUGGCCCCUACGUCCAGGGCUACACACGUGCUACAAUGGUCGGUACAAAGGGCAGCAAACUCGCGAGAGCUAGCCAAUCCCAAAAAACCGACCUCAGUACAGAUAAGAGUCUGCAACUCGACUCUUUGAAGGCGGAAUCGCUAGUAAAUCCCUGAUCAGCAUAGCAGGGGUGAAUACGUUCCGGGCCUUGUACACACACCGCCCCGUCACACCAUGGGAGUCGAUUGCUCCAGAAGUGGCUGCGCCACCCCGCAAGGGAGGUAGGUCCCCAAGGAGUGAUCGGUGACUGGGGUG